ensembl:lncRNA SLC44A3-AS1 SLC44A3 antisense RNA 1
GUGUUAUGUCUGGAUCUGGCCACUGCUUAGGACAACUUCGUGCAUCAGCAGCUCACGCUGCUGAUGCAACACAGGUGAAGAGCACCUUCCCCUCCCCCACCUGUGGGCUGAUUCCCACCACGUGGAUCCCAAGGCCAUCCCAGGAACUCUUUGGAGGGGAGAAGCCCAGUGGAAAC